AAAAUAUUGCCUUCUGAUCUCUAACCUAAACCUAUUCUCCAUCAGCUUAUGACCAUUGUUCCUUGUCACCCCAGGUGGUGCUGGGGAGAAAAGAGCUCUGCCUAUUUGCUGUUGAUUCCCCCUGAUGAGCUUGUAGGCAGCCACCAGGUCCCCACCUCAGCCUCCUCUUGCUGAGGCUGAACAGGUUCAGGUCUCUCCACAUAGGGCCCGUCCUGCUGCCCUCUCACCAAGCAGGUGGCCCUUCUCUGGCUUGGUCACAUCCCUUUUGAAGUGUGGUGCCCAGUACUGGACGCAGUACUCCAACUGCGGCCUGACCAAAGUCGCAUAGAGGGGGAGUAUCACCUCUCUGGACGAGCUUGAAAUGCACCUUUGGAUGUAUGACAAGGUAUGGCUGGCCUUGCUGGCUGCAGUCUGGCAUUGGCGGCUCAUGUUCAUCUUGGAGUCAAUAAUGACUCCAAGAUCCCUUUCCACCUCUGUGCUUUCAAGAAGGGAACUCCCCAGCCUGUAUGUAUGCUGUGGAUUCCUUCUCCCAAGGUGCAGAACCCUGAAUUUGUCUACGUUGAACCCCGUCCUACUACUUUUAGAGGCUAAUGAUGUGAUGGUCUGUACUGGGAUCUUUUUAGAUUAGGCUACAAUUCAUCCAGUCUUUCUUUAUCCUUUUAUUUUAAAGAUGGGCUCUGUGGUUGUGCUUUAGUUCUCAGACACAUCACCUCACUGUGCAGAUUUGACUUAGAUGGGUUUGCUAAUUUUCAUCUUCAGCUAGACAGCUGGCCUUGUCCAUACUGGGGAAAUAGCAGAUGAAAUAUAUUUUAACUUUAGUAAGGCUGUAGUCCUGUAUGCCCUUGGUUACUUUGUCUGGAGAAAACUAUGAAUGGUUCAGAGAUUGACUUCUCUCCUGCCAGUAGUUCCAUCCAUACCCUGUGCAAAACGUGAUCAUGAUGCAUGGGAUUAAAACCAUUAUUUCCCCAGGCUUUGACUGCUCUUGGUGUUUUUACAUGUGAACAUGGGGCAGAAGCAUUGCCUUGGUUCUGCAUACAUAUUAAGGCCCUUGGGCAUAUGCAAGGAACAUAUUUCAGUUCCUGUUGUACCUCCUGUCACCUCUCCUGGAAAGCCAGGUGGAAGGGAUAAGGAAAACACAUGGAAAGAAUUUGCUUUCUAGACUGACUUCUUUCAAUUUCAAAAUUCUAUAAAAAAGUUACUAAAAUAGUUUAGGACCUGUGCUGCACACAGCACCCCACAUCCCCUCCCUGGCCAUUCUAGAGUGGGCACCACAUGCAGCAUGGGUCCUGGACUGGCUGGAGUCAGGUGCUGUAUGCAGCAUAUGUCCUAGAUUAGCCCAUGUGGGGGACAGUGUGGCAUGGUGCUAGAUUGGAUCUGGCAUGCAAGAUGAUGGGGCAGGUCCAUAGGCCUGAUCCAGCCAGUGGGGCUGGCCAUAUGCCAUGCAUCUGGCCCAUGGACUGGCCAUGUGCUAUUCAUCUGGCCUGUGAUGCUAGCUGAGUAUGACUCACUCCUCACUCUGCGAAUAGUCUUUUAGCCUCUCAGUGUCCCUCUCUUCAAACUUCAUGCUGUUUAAGACAUACACUUGUUGCAACAUAGCGCUAGUUCAGUGGUUCAUAACCAGGGUUCUGGGGCACCUGGAGAGGUGCCACAAAAUCCUUUGAAGGGUACUGUAACAGGGAACCCUAGCCCUGUAAUGAGGAAGCAGGUUUGCCCCUUUAAGGCCAGAACUUUCUGGGCAUGGAGGGCUGGUAAGGAAGGGGUUAAAUGCUGAACCUGGAUGGCUAGUCAGCUGACCGGAAAAGGCAGGACUAUAAGAACCCUGGUUUGAACUGCAGUAAGAGAGCAGCAGCUGAAGGGGAAGUAGUGUGUCUGAGAGUUGUAUAAAGAAGCUUGGGGAGUGGGCUAUUGUAGGAAGGGAGAAGCUCCAGAAACCCCUGAGAGAUGGUGGCUGCACCACAGCCUGGCUACUGUAGCCGACAUUGCGGAGCCAAAGCAGGAAACAGGUUUAUGACAACUCCUCCUCACCAGCAUCCUCCUGCUUAAAUGAGAGCUGCAACUGAAGCACCACAGCUGAUUACAGCAGCCACAGACUAACAAGAGAGACUGUCUUAGAUGGAUGAUACGAUCAGCCAAAGAGGAUGCAAACAAACUACAAGAAAACUUGUUUCUGCUGAUUAGUAAUAACUAACUAGUGCUUGUGUUCCUUUACAAGUUAGGACAACAGAAUUUCUUAAUGCCUUUUGAGUUCUGAGAGACUCCAUUUUGUUCUUGUAUGGAAUUCAUCAAAAGGGGAAGUCUGGCCUCAGGAAUAGAAGCAGUCUGCUGGCCAGCUGCCCCUUUUGGACAGCUUUGAAUUCCUCCCUUUCCAAUGUGCAUGAGGCUGGCGGGGCAUGGUGGCAGUGGGCAGGGAGUCCCCCCAGGUGGCUGCAGUGGUGUUAGCUGGCAGGGGUGGGGGGAGUGCCAACUGGCAGUCAGAGAUCACCCACAGACACUGCCGGUGGUGUUGGCGGUGGGGUAGUGGCAACUGUCUGCAGGUGCCGGUGGCAGCAUUGGUGGUGCCUCUCUCAGUGGGUGCACCACUAAUCUCAGGGGGUGCACAUGCAUCGCCAAUGCUUCCCAAAUGUGUUAGUUCACCCUGCCUCACUCUAAUUCUCUUAUAGUCUUAAUCCUCAAUGCCUCUUGUUGUUCCCUCCUAUUAUCUAAGGUGCUUUGAAUUGUCCUUUUUCACUUUCUCAUCCAGUGCAUUAGAAGAGCCUAUACAUUUGUUUUUAACGAACACAGGCUUUGUAUUGUAUAAAUACUGAACUUCUUAGAGUGGGUAAUAACCUGAGAAGUCUGAUGAACAGUAAACAGCACCUGUUUUGUCUAGCUGCAUGGUGAAGAGUCUGCAAUGGAGUAACAACCUGUGUUUUAUCAAGCUUUAUUUUUCUCUGCUGCCAAAGUCUUCAUGACCACACUUGAAAAGAGAUUUGAUUUUCAGUGACACUGGAAUGAGCAUGUCCAAACUGUUGCAAAAAACCAGGGCUGUUCAACUGGUGGCCUGUGUGCUGUAAAUGGCUCAAGAAGGGUUAAAUUGUGUCCCCCAGACUUGUCUGACUGCCACU